UACGGGGGGGGUAAGCGUUGUUCGGAAUUACUGGGCGUAAAGGGCUCGUAGGCGGCCAACUAAGUCAGACGUGAAAUCCCUCAGCUUAACUGGGGAACUGCGUCUGAUACUGGAUGGCUUGGAUUCGGGAGAGGGAUGCGGAAUUCCAGGUGUAGCGGUGAAAUGCGUAGAUAUCAUGAGGAAUACCAGAGGCGAAGGCGGCUACCUGGACAAUUGCUGACGCUCAGGCACGAAAGCGUGGGGAGCAAACAGG
rnacentral:rRNA from 1 species